AUUGAACGCUGGCGGCAUGCUUUACACAUGCAAGUCGAACGGCAGCGCGGGCUUCGGCCUGGCUGCGAGUGGCGAACGGGUGAGUAAUGCAUCGGAACGUGCCCAGUAGUGGGGGAUAGCCCGGCGAAAGCCGGAUUAAUACCGCAUACGACCUGAGGGUGAAAGCGGAGGACCGAAAGGCCUCGCGCUAUUGGAGCGGCCGAUGUCGGAUUAGCUAGUUGGUGGGGUAAAGGCUUACCAAGGCGACGAUCCGUAGCUGGUCUGAGAGGACGACCAGCCACACUGGGACUGAGACACGGCCCAGACUCCUACGGGAGGCAGCAGUGGGGAAUUUUGGACAAUGGGGGCAACCCUGAUCCAGCCAUGCCGCGUGCGGGAAGAAGGCCUUCGGGUUGUAAACCGCUUUUGUUCGGGAAGAAAUCCUCUGGGCUAAUACCCCGGGGGGAUGACGGUACCGGAAGAAUAAGCACCGGCUAACUACGUG
rnacentral:rRNA from 1 species